rnacentral:rRNA from 1 species
CCUACGGGCGGCAGCAGUGGGGAAUAUUGCGCAAUGGGCGAAAGCCUGACGCAGCGACGCCGCGUGAGGGAUGAAGGUCUUCGGAUCGUAAACCUCUGUCAGCAGGGAAGAACGGUCACUGUGCUAAUCAGCAGUGAAUUGACGGUACCUGCAAAGGAAGCACCGGCUAACUCCGUGCCAGCAGCCGCGGUAAUACGGAGGGUGCGAGCGUUAAUCGGAAUUACUGGGCGUAAAGCGCUCGUAGGCGGUAUGUCAAGUCAAGGGUGAAAUCCCCGCGCGCAACGUGGGAACUGCCUUUGAAACUGGCAAACGGGAGUGGGUGAGAGGAGAGUGGAAGUCAAGGUGUAGGAGUGAAGUCCGUAGAUAUCGGGAGGAACAUCAGGGGCGAGGGCGA